GCUCGCCGGCGCCUCCCGGAAAAGGGAGGCCGGUGUGGGGCGCGGGAUGUUCCGGGGCCGGCCGGGUUUCUGAGGGAGCUUCCGGGCGGUUCAGCUCCGAGGUGGCAGCGGGACCCCCCAGACAUCCCUCAGCAGGUAACGCCUUCACCGUCCUCUGGGAAGCAAGAGGUUGGAGUGCCAUCUCUGAGCUUAGACCUCCUACCUCAGCAUCCUGAUCUGGUGCCGCCUUCGGGAGGAUGAAUCAGGGCAGUGACUCAAGUGAUCAGCCCACGGGCCAGGACCCACUCGUAUUGCUGAAAACCCUUCAGCUUCUCUGGACAAAGCAAGAGCUGAGGAAGCAGCUCAAGGAAGAAAUCAGGCGGGGCUUUGCCGGACUGGAGGACCCUCUGGCAGCACUCCUGGCCAUGCUGGAGAACAGCAGUGAUUGGAAAGGGAAAGGGCAUUCCCUGGGGUAUUACAUCACCACGGAGCUGCAGCUUUGGAUAAAAGAGCAUCCUGCUGUUCCACAGUCUGGCAUCCAGCUGAAGAAGCUGCAGGCCCGUGUGCUCAGAAUCCUCUCCCAGUGCCCAGCUAAUCUGCUUGACCCCCUGAUCAGCAUUUACCAGCUCCACACAGCAGACCGGAACUAUUUGCUUGAACAUGUCAGUCAUCUUUAUCUCAAGGGCAAUUACAAAGAGGCAGCCAUACUGAGUAUUAAGCUGCAAUUACAGCCAGAUCAAGAUGUGGAAAAGAUGUGCAUCCCACUGCUGCUCCAGGAUAAAGCUAAUGUGGUGGAAGAUUAUGUGGGAGAAUAUCCUGAGCUCCAGAGGAAGCUCUUGCAGAUCCUGGACUCAUGGUGUGAUCCUGGUGUCAACAUCAGAGACGUCACAAGACCAUAUCAAGGCCUGUCCAGAUACAAACCAGAAAAAUUUAACCACAGAACACUCAGCAAGCUGGUCUUCAGGCUCCUGGACCGAUUCCACGUAGAUCCAGCCCUCUGCCCUAAUGUCGUAAACCAGCGGCACUUGAGAACCCUGAACUACCUCUUUUACAAGAGAUUUGUUGAGAAAACCAUGACUGAGGAGAAUUGGGCAGAUCACGUUCAGAGCACCGUGGGGGACAGGCGCUGCCUGCAGGGGCACCUGGUGCAGCUGCUGCUCCGUCACUGCGAGGGGCGCGCGGCGGCGCGGUGGGCGCGGCGCUGGGGGCUGCCCACGGACCUGCUGCCUCCUGGCCUGCCCGAGGAGCCUCCAGAGCUCCACACCCAAGAGAGGGUAGAAGAGGCCACAAAAGCAGAUAAUUAUGAAGACAGUAAGAAGAAGGACUAUUACCAGCUUCCUAUUCCACGGGAAAAUAUUCACUUCCUGCAGACAUGGGAAGAGACACUGCAGUGCUGGGAGAAGGUGCUGCAGCCUGGGCAGGUUGUUGGUGUUGACAUGGAGUGGAAGCCUUCCUUUGGCAUGGUGGGGAAGCCCCGUGUCGCCCUCCUCCAGAUGGCAGUGAAGGAUGAGGUGUUCCUAUUGGACCUGCCACGGCUCCUCGAGCAAGCUGAGGAGGAAGAGGAGAAGGAGAAGCUCCCCCGAUUCAUCCAGAGGCUCUAUUCGGAUGCUGCCAUCACUAAGCUAGGUUAUGGGAUGUCUGGAGACCUCAGCAGCCUUGCAGCCACAUGUUCUGCUCUGAAAGACGCGGAGAAGCAACUGCAUGGUGUGGUGGAUCUACUCACAGUGGAUAAACAACUGCAGAAGGGCUGCAGUGAGUGGAGGAAGGACGGCCGGAAGGUUGAUGGACUGUCCCCGGAGCACAGCCACGAGGAGAGAGGGGUCAGGCAGCAGGAGAAGGGACUCAGCCUGCUGGUGCAACAUGUGCUGGGAAAACCUCUGGAUAAAACAGAGCAGCUGUCAAACUGGGAGAAACGGCCUCUCCGGGAGGAGCAGAUCCUCUAUGCAGCCUCUGACGCGUACUGUUUGCUGGAGAUCUACGAGAGGCUCUGCAAGGACCCAGAGAGCUUUGGGCUGAGCUCGGACCUGAUGGACAGUCUGGUGGGAAAACGGAGCAUAAAACCCAGGGCAAAGAAGCAGCUGAAUAAACAAGAAGCACUGUCACCUUCUGGACAGCAGUGCCAAGGAUCCCAGAUGGAGACCCCCCGUGGCCCUGCCCCUGUGUCCCCCAGGGAGUUCAGCGUGGUGUGUGAUAACAUGCUGCAGGGCCUGGGCCGCUACCUGCGCUGCCUGGGCGUCGAUGUCCGCAUGCUGGACAACGAGGACGACCACAGGAAAGCUGCUGAGAUUGCCCGACAGGAAGGAAGAGUCAUUUUAACCUCUGGCCUCCCGUAUCAGACUCUGCAGUCCCAGGUGGGAGAAGGAAGGUGUUUCUCUGUGAACUGCUCGGAAAAGGCGAAAGAACAGGCCCUGCAGGUGCUGAAGCACUUCAACGUCCAGGUGUCCCUGAGCGAUAUCUUCAGCCGCUGCCAGGUGUGCAACUGUGACAAGUACCUGAAGGUGUCCCGGGAGAGGAUGAGGCAGCUGGUGGAGGGCAGUAGGCAGGCAUUGCAGGAGCACAGUGCAGGUAAGCUGGGAGUGAUACUCUGACCCCAACCCCCUCCCUGAGCCCUUGCCUGGGACUCACUGCCCUGGGCAGAGCAGGACCACUCCCCUGGGGCUGGAGGUUUCUCAGAGUGUGAUCAGGUCCCCUGCCACCCAUCUGCCACUGAGUGCAGACCCACAGAGCUCUUCCAAGCCCAGUUCAUGUCUCUACCCUUGCUGCCCUGUCCUGCCCCAUGAGGCACAGGGUCAUGUAUAGGAUCGCCCAGCCGGGGGGGGUGAUGACAUUCAACAGUAGCUCAGGUGACAGCCUGAGGCCAUCGCUACCUGACUGUGUAAAAGUCAGCUUGGGUGGUAAAAUGCCUCUUGGCUGGGCCUGUCAGGUGCCUUCCUGGCCUGCCCAGUGCCUCCUAAACUAGGUCAGGCUGCAGGGAGGUGAGUCAGUGCUGCCUGCACAGCUGCACUCCGGCGGGCUCAGGGGAGGGAAGGCUCCUCCAUGUGUGCCCUGAGCUAUGCUGACCCACACACACUCCUUCCCAAAGGGACACACAUUUUGGUGGUGAAUGACACCCACCUCAGCACACCAGAAUGGGAACAUGCCCCUGUUGCUGCUUCAGCCCAGCCUGGGCUCUGGCACCAGCCAUUGUGUGCACCGCUUGCCGUGCUUCAGCUUCCCCAUCUGCUGACAGCAGAGAGCAGUGGGAAGCAGCGGCUGCCGGGCACUCCUGGCCAGCUGUGGCUUUGCUGGAAGCUGCAUGUGUGGCUCUGGGGGUGAGGGACGUGGUGGGGCAGCUUUUCUCAUGGUGCCAGCAGCCUGGGAGCGCUGUGCCUCCCCAGAGGCCGGGACAUCCUCCCUGGUGGUUCCUCUGGUGAGGGCACUCACCGUGUGUGUACCCAGAGACCAGCUGGGCCAGUUCAGCCAGUUUUAGAGUAUGGCAAAUAGAAAUACUGUGGUUUGUGUUCAGCGUGUGAGUCGUUUCCCCUUCCCCAUUCUGGAUGGGGAUAAUGGAGCUGGGAUAGUCUCACACAGCACAAUGGCUGCUCCACGCAGACUCUUCAGGGACUGCCUGGCUCUACCCUUUAUACCUGCUCUGCAACACUCCAUGUCCCCAUCAGGCCAUGCAGCCUCUUGCUGGAUCCUCAUGUCCCUGGGAGAGCCUCAUGAGGAAAGACCAGCCUGCCCAGGGAGCCAGAUGUGCGAUGUCACAGCUGGUGACACAGCCCAGCCCGGCUGCAGCGUGCAGGGAGAGCAGCCGGAGGGGCGGGAGCAGCGCGGGGCGGACGCAGUGCUGGGGGGAGGCACGGUCCUGCAG